rnacentral:rRNA from 1 species
AGUGAACGCUGGCGGUAAGCCUAACACAUGCAAGUCGAACGGCAGCACAGUAAGAGCUUGCUCUUACGGGUGGCGAGUGGCGGACGGGUGAGGAAUACAUCGGAAUCUACUUUUUCGUGGGGGAUAACGUAGGGAAACUUACGCUAAUACCGCAUACGACCUACGGGUGAAAGCAGGGGAUCUUCGGACCUUGCGCGAUUGAAUGAGCCGAUGUCGGAUUAGCUAGUUGGCGGGGUAAAGGCCCACCAAGGCGACGAUCCGUAGCUGGUCUGAGAGGAUGAUCAGCCACACUGGAACUGAGACACGGUCCAGACUCCUACGGGAGGCAGCAGUGGGGAAUAUUGGACAAUGGGCGCAAGCCUGAUCCAGCCAUACCGCGUGGGUGAAGAAGGCCUUCGGGUUGUAAAGCCCUUUUGUUGGGGAAGAAAAGCAGCAGGUUAAUACCCCGCUGUUCUGACGGUACCCAAAGAAUAAGCACCGGCUAACUUCGUG